CAUUUGAAAAUCAAGUAAAUGAAGAAGAAAAUAAAAUAAAACUACCAACGGCUAUCAGAAAAGAGAUUGCAAAUUUUAAAAUUAACCUCUAUUGUGGAAGUGCAUUUGCACUGUUGAACAUGAGUGCCUUGAGAGUUUCAAGGCUUCUCAGAGUGGAAUACCUGCAGCGUCUCCCUGCAAUUUGCAGCUAACAGGCGAAUGCAGCU
rnacentral:lncRNA from 1 species